AGCAUAUCAAUAAGCGGAGGAAAAGAAACCAACAGGGAUUGCCCUAGUAACGGCGAGUGAAGCGGCAACAGCUCAAAUUUGAAAUCUGGCGUCUUUGGCGUCCGAGUUGUAAUUUGCAGAGGGCGCUUUGGCAUCGGCAGCGGUCCAAGUUCCUUGGAACAGGACGUCACAGAGGGUGAGAAUCCCGUACGUGAUCGCUAGCCUUUACCGUGUAAAGCCCCUUCGACGAGUCGAGUUGUUUGGGAAUGCAGCUCUAAAUGGGAGGUAAAUUUCUUCUAAAGCUAAAUACUGGCCAGAGACCGAUAGCGCACAAGUAGAGUGAUCGAAAGAUGAAAAGCACUUUGGAAAGAGAGUUAAAAAGCACGUGAAAUUGUUGAAAGGGAAGCGCUUGCAGCCAGACUUGCCUGUAGUUGCUCAUCCGGGUUUCUACCCGGUGCACUCUUCUAUAGGCAGGCCAGCAUCAGUUUGGGCGGUUGGAUAAAGGUCUCUGUCAUGUACCUCUCUUCGGGGAGAACUUAUAGGGGAGACGACAUGCAACCAGCCCGGACUGAGGUCCGCGCAUCUGCUAGGAUGCUGGCGUAAUGGCUGUAAGCGGCCCGUCUUGAAACACGGACCAAGGAGUCUAACAUCUAUGCGAGUGUUUGGGUGUCAAGCCCGAACGCGUAAUGAAAGUGAACGGAGGUGGGAACCUUUCGGGGUGCACCAUCGACCGAUCCUGAUGUCUUCGGAUGGAUUUGAGUAAGAGCAUAGCUGUUGGGACCCGAAAGAUGGUGAACUAUGCUUGAAUAGGGUGAAGCCAGAGGAAACUCUGGUGGAGGCUCGCAGCGGUUCUGACGUGCAAAUCGAUCGUCAAA
rnacentral:rRNA from 1 species